UACGUAGGUGGCAAGCGUUGUCCGGAUUUACUGGGCGUAAAGAGCGCGCAGGCGGUCGGAUAAGUCGAAUGUGAAAGCCCCCGGCUCAACUGGGGAGGGUCACGCGAUACUGAUCGACUCGAAGGCAGGAGAGGGUAGUGGAAUUCCCGGUGUAGUGGUGGAAUGCGUAGAUAUCGGGAGGAACACCAGUGGCGAAGGCGGUUACCUGGGGCUUUGCUGACGCUGAUGCGCGAAAGCGUGGGGAGCGAUCCGG
rnacentral:rRNA from 1 species